rnacentral:rRNA from 1 species
CGUAGUUGGAUUUCGGAUGGAACUUGCCGGUCCGUCGUUGCGAUGUGCACUGGCCCGUCCUAUCUUGUUGUUGGGGACUAGCUCCGGGGCUUUACUGUCCAGGACUAGAAGGUAACGAGGUUACUUUGAGUAAGUUAAAGUGUUUCUGCUCACCAUCUGGCUGAAUACAUUAGCAUGGAAUAACACAUGGGGACUCUGGAUUAUCCUGUUGGUCUGUGAGACCAGAGUAAUGUUGACAGGGACAGGAUAGGGACAUUCGUAUUUCAUUGUCAGAGGAGAAAUUCUUGGAUUUCUAAAAGAGAAAGUUCUGCUGACAAAUUUCUCCCGGAUCCUUUCAUUGCUCCAGACGCACAGUUGGGGGCUCCAAGACUAUGGGAUGCCGUCCUAAUCUCAACCAUAAACGAUGCCUACAAGGGAUUGGCUGGAUUUUUUUGAUGACUCUCCCUCCCCUUAUGACAAAUCAAAGUUUUUGGGGCCGG